UACGUAGGGUGCGAGCGUUGUCCGGAAUUAUUGGGCGUAAAGAGCUUGUAGGCGGUUUGUCGCGUCUGCCGUGAAAGUCCGGGGCUCAACUCCGGAUCUGCGGUGGGUACGGGCAGACUAGAGUGAUGUAGGGGAGACUGGAAUUCCUGGUGUAGCGGUGAAAUGCGCAGAUAUCAGGAGGAACACCGAUGGCGAAGGCAGGUCUCUGGGCCAUAACUGACGCUGAGGAGCGAAAGCGUGGGGAGCGAACAGG
rnacentral:rRNA from 1 species